GAUGAACGCUGGCGGCGUGCCUAAUACAUGCAAGUCGAGCGAACAGACGAGGAGCUUGCUCCUCUGACGUUAGCGGCGGACGGAUGAGUAACCCGUGGAUAACCUACCUAUAAGACUGGGAUAACUUCGGGAAACCGGAGCUAAUACCGGAUAAUAUAUUGAACCGCAUGGUUCAAUAGUGAAAGACGGUUUUGCUGUCACUUAUAGAUGGAUCCGCGCCGCAUUAGCUAGUUGGGAAGGUAACGGCUUACCAAGGCGACGAUUCGUUGCCGACCUGAGAGGGUGAUCGGCCACACUGGAACUGAGACACGGUCCAGACUCCUACGGGAGGCAGCAGUAGGGAAUCUUCCGCAAUGGGCGAAAGCCUGACGGAGCAACGCCGCGUGAGUGAUGAAGGUCUUCGGAUCGUAAAACUCUGUUAUUAGGGAAGAACAAAUGUGUAAGUAACUAUGCACGUCUUGACGGUUCCUAAUCAGAAAGCCACGGCUAACUACGUG
rnacentral:rRNA from 1 species